UACGUAGGUGGCAAGCGUUGUCCGGAAUUACUGGGUGUAGAGGGAGCGCAGGCGGGAAGCCAAGUCAGCUGUGAAAACUACGGGCUUAACUUGUAGACUGCAGUUGAAACUGGUUUUCUUGAGUGAAGUAGAGGUUGGCGGAAUUCCGAGUGUAGCGGUGAAAUGCGUAGAUAUUCGGAGGAACACUGGUGGCGAAGGCGGCCAACUGGGCUUUAACUGACGCUGAGGCUCGAAAGUGUGGGGAGCAAACAGG
rnacentral:rRNA from 1 species